GAAGGCCCACUGUCUUAAGGAAAUUCCCAGUGAAAUUGAAUUCGUAGUGAAGAUGCUACGUGCAAUUUGUUAGACGAAAAGACCCCGUUGAGCUUUACUGGAGCACUUACAUGGCCCUGGCCUUCCCAUGCUUGGGAAUCGGCCGAAUUUAAAUGGGCGGCUUAGAUUAUGUGGCAGCCCCCCGCUGGGGCAAAUGAAACCCCACUCCCCCAUGUCAAAGGGGCUAACCCCCCCCCUUGGGGGGACAGUGUAAGUAGGACAGUUUGGUUGGGGCGACCGCCUUUUAAAGAGUAACGAAGGUGCGCUUAAGGUGCGCAAUUAAUGACUGAAGCCUGACUGCGAGGGGGACACCCCGAGCAGACACCCCAAAGCCCGCCCGAAGGGCGGCGGUGGGGUGGGCCAUAGUGACCCGUUAAUUUAGAGUGGAAUAGUUAACGAUCAACGAAUAAAAGUUACCACGGGGA
rnacentral:rRNA from 1 species